rnacentral:rRNA from 1 species
AGAGUUUGAUCAUGGCUCAGAGUGAACGCUGGCGGCAGGCCUAAUACAUGCAAGUCGAACGGCAGCACAGCAGAGCUUGCUCUGUGGGUGGCGAGUGGCGGACGGGUGAGGAAUACGUGGGAAUCUGCCCAGUCGUGGGGGAUAACGUAGGGAAACUUACGCUAAUACCGCAUGCGCCCUUCGGGGGAAAGCCGGGGACCUUCGGGCCUGGCGCGAUUGGAUGAGCCCACGUCGGAUUAGCUAGUUGGCGGGGUAAAGGCCCACCAAGGCGACGAUCCGUAGCUGGUCUGAGAGGAUGAUCAGCCACACUGGAACUGAGACACGGUCCAGACUCCUACGGGAGGCAGCAGUAGGGAAUAUUGGACAAUGGGCGCAAGCCUGAUCCAGCCAUGCCGCGUGAGUGAAGAAGGCCCUCGGGUUGUAAAGCUCUUUUGUCCGGAAAGAAAAGCGCCGGGUUAAUACCCCGGUGUCCUGACGGUACCGGAAGAAUAAGCACCGGCUAACUUCGUG